rnacentral:rRNA from 1 species
UGCCUACGGGGGGCAGCAGUGGGGGAUAUUGGAUAAUGGGGGGAACCCUGAUCCAGCGCCGCCGCGUGAGUGAAGAAGUAUUUCGGUAUGUAAAGCUCUGUCAGCAGGGAAGAAAGCAAUGACGGUACCUGAUUAAGAAGCCCCGGCUAACUACGUGCCAGCAGCCGCGGUAAUACGUAGGGGGCAAGCGUUAUCCGGAUUUACUGGGUGUAAAGGGAGCGUAGACGGUGAUGCAAGUCAGAAGUGAAAGCCCGGGGCUCAACUCCGGGACUGCUUUUGAAACUGUGUGACUGGAGUGCA